GGAGGCGUGGCAGAGCGGUUGAAUGCACUGGUCUUGAAAACCAGCAAGGGUUUAUGCCCUUCAGAGGUUCGAAUCCUCUCGCCUCCGCCA
rnacentral:tRNA from 1 species